UACGAAGGGGGCUAGCGUUGCUCGGAAUCACUGGACGUAAAGCGCACGUAGGCGGCUUUUUAAGUCAGGGGUGAAAUCCUGGAGCUCAACUCCAGAACUGCCUUUGAUACUGAAAAGCUUGAGUCCGGGAGAGGUGAGUGGAACUGCGAGUGUAGAGGUGAAAUUCGUAGAUAUUCGCAAGAACACCAGUGGCGAAGGCGGCUCACUGGCCCGGUACUGACGCUGAGGUGCGAAAGCGUGGGGAGCAAACAGG
rnacentral:rRNA from 1 species